CGGGGUGUAGCGCAGUUGGUAGCGUACUACGUUCGGGACGUAGGGGUCGUGUGUUCGAGUCACAUCACCCCGA
rnacentral:tRNA from 1 species